CUUGAACGCUGGCGGCAGGCCUAACACAUGCAAGUCGAACGAGUGGCGGACGUGUGAGUAAUGUCUGGGACACUGCCUGAUGGAUGGGGAUAACUACUGGAAACGGUAGCUAAUACCGCAUACCCUCGGAUGUGCCCAGAUGGGAUUAGCUAGUAGGUGGGGUAAAGGCUCACCCAGGCGACGAUCCCUAGCUGGUCUGAGAGGAUGACCAGCGACUAUGGAACUGAGAGACGUUCCUGACUCCGACGGGAGGCAGAAGUGGGGAAGAUGGCACAAUGGGCGCAAGCCUGAUGCAGCCAUGCCGCGUGUAUGAAGAAGGCCUUCGGGUUGUAAAGUACGUCCAGAGGGGAGGCGUUACCCGCAGAAGAAGCACCGGCUAACUCCGUGCCAGCAGCCGCGGUAAUUC
rnacentral:rRNA from 1 species